AUUGAACGCUGGCGGCACGCCUAACACAUGCAAGUCGAGCGGUAACAUGCUUUGUAGCAAUACAAAGUGAUGACGAGCGGCGGACGGGUGAGGAACACGUAGGAACCUGCCCUUUAGCGGGGGACAACCAAGGGAAACUUUGGCUAAUACCGCGUAAUCUCGCAAGAGGAAAGCUGCCCGCAAGGGUGGCGCUAAAGGAGGGGCCUGCGUCCGAUUAGCUAGUUGGUGAGGUAAUGGCUCACCAAGGCGAGGAUCGAUAACUGGUCUGAGAGGACGACCAGUCACGCUGGGACUGAGACACGGCCCAGACUCCUACGGGAGGCAGCAGUGGGGAAUAUUGGACAAUGGGGGCAACCCUGAUCCAGCGAUGCCGCGUGGGUGAAGAAGGCCUUCGGGUUGUAAAGCCCUUUAGGUCGGGAAGAAGUGUGCUGGCUGAAUAAGCCAGUAUGUUGACGGUACCGACAGAAUAAGCACCGGCAAACUCUGUGCCAGCCGCCGCAGUAA
rnacentral:rRNA from 1 species